CAGGUCCCUUGAAGGCACAGCGCAAGUAGCGCGGACUUCCCUUCCCCAACCACCUCCCUCCCCCACCUUCUUAAACUUUUCGUGGGUGGGGAAGGAUUUCGUGGGCGGUGAGAUGCAACUGAUCCACGUGAACAUCUCCACUCUGAACUCAUGAUGGAAGGAAGGUCAUUAAUGAAACUGCUGAAGGUAGUUGAGCCUGGGACACUGCCCUAAGGAAAUCCUACAGUAAUGUCCAGGACCUGGGAUGACUGACAUGAAUUAACCACAACUAUAUUACUUUGUACGAGGUGAUCACUCCAGAUGGAGGAUGAUUUACUUCCUCUCGGGCUGAUUAAUAUUGCCAAUGUGGGACCCACAGGCUCAAGAACAGACGGGACAGGAGCUGCCUGAGAAGAUGAACAGACCUUCCCUUUUGUUUCCUAUUCCACCCUUCUGUGUUGAUGCAAAGAAAGGAAACUAUCGUCAGCUCUGAUGAAAAGCCAUCGACCUUAAAUGUGACCUUCUGUUUCAUAAUGCAGCAUAAAUAUGUAAGAUGAAAAUUAAAAAAAGACUGCAGAUGCUGGUAAUUUGAAAUAAAAAUGGAAAAUGCUGGAAACACUUGGCAGCAAGCAUGGAAAGAGAAGCAGAAUUUAUGUUUCAAGUUGGAGUUGCUUUGUCAGAAAUGGAAAAGAGUCAUCGAAUUAUACAGCACAGAAACGGGCCCUUUGGCACAACUUGUCCUUGCUGCCCAAGAAUCCCAUUUUCCUGCUUUUGGUCCAUAUCCCUCCACUGAUAUGGACCAUAUCCACAGACCUGUCUAAAUGUCUAUUGAACACUGUAAUUAUACCUGCUUCUCCCACUACCCAGCAAUUUGUUCCAUAUACCCACUACCUUCUGGUCAAAAACUUUCCCCUCAGGUCCUCUUUAAAUACUUCCCCUCUCACUUUAGACGCCACUACCCUGGGGAAAAGGCUGUGACCAUCUGCCCUAUCUAUGCCCCCAAUGAUUUUAUUAACCCUCAGCCUCCGUCACUCCAUGGAAAACAGUCCCAGCCUAUUCUUUGUCAAAAGUGAGAAAAAAAAAUUGGUGGUACCAAACCAUUCUUAGUAAUGAGCACUGAAGUCCCUCAGUCAGAUUGUCCUUUCCAUUUUUAUUGCUUCUUCCAAGUGUUGUUCAAGCUGGAGAAGGACUGAUGCAGUGGCAGAGCCAGUGGAACCCACAGUGAUUUGGGUUCAAUUUUGAUCUCCGAUGCUGUCUCUAUGGAGCUUCUUCAUUCUCCCUGUGACCAUGUGGGUUUCCUUUGAUUGCUUCAGUUUUCCCCCACAUCACAAAGGUGUGCAGGUUGGUAUUUUAAUUGGCCACUUUAAAUUGCCCCUGGUGUAGAUCGGUGGCAGAGCUGAUGGGACUGUGGGGAGAUUUGUGAAAGGGAAAAUUUAUGGGGAUGUGAGUACUUUGUGAGUCAUCAUAGAUUUGGUCGGCUGAGUGUCUUCCUGUAAGGGAAAAUGGAAUAUGUGGAUUUAUCAGCUGAGGAAGGAUGAUUUCUGGAGAUCAGGAAGAGAUUUUGUUGCCCAGAUUUCACCUAAUGCCAUGAACAUUCAUAGAAUCUGGAAUCAAUGUUCAGGAAUUUCUAUAAUACCCUAUGUGAUAUGUAUGCCAGUGCUACCUUUUCUCCUGGCCAGUGGAGGAAGCUAGUGUGUUGUCUGUCAGGUAUGAUUGUCUGACAAUGAUCAUGUCAAGCUGUUGUUGAAUAGUCUGUGGGACGGCUCUGACAGCUGAGAGGAUGUGGACUGGGCUGGGAGCCAUGUUGCAAAUCAGUGCCUAGGAUAAUGAUGGAUGGUCCAUUUGGUGUUAAACAUUCUUUCAUUGUAGUGAUUAUGUUGCAACUCACUGGCUUGGUGAACCAUUUAAGAAUCAGCCAUAUCCAGAGGUCUGAAGUCACACAAAGACUCGUUUCAGUAUAAUGGCAGACUUCCUCCCCGAAGUACAUUAGUGCACUAGUGCCGGCUUUUCCCUGCGGAUGCUGCCUGGCCUGCUGAGUUCCUCCACCAUCAUUGUUUUUCAUCUAGAUUCCAGCAUCUGCAGUCCUUUAUUUCUCUAGGGCUUUUACAACAGUCCAGUUGUCCUCUUGUAAAUAUUAUUAAGGAAUGUUCUUCUUAAGUUUUAGAAUAUUAAUGGUAAUUCAAUUCUCUGGAUCAUUUGUCUAGGCUCU